rnacentral:rRNA from 1 species
AGAGUUUGAUCAUGGCUCAGAUUGAACGCUGGCGGCACGCCUAACACAUGCAAGUCGAGCGGAUGAAGAGAGCUUGCUCUCUGAUUCAGCGGCGGACGGGUGAGUAAUGCCUAGGAAUCUGCCUGAUAGUGGGGGACAACGUUUCGAAAGGAACGCUUAUACCGCAUACGUCCUACGGGAGAAAGCAGGGGACCUUCUGGCCUUGCGCUAUCAGAUGAGCCUAGGUCGGAUUAGCUAGUUGGUGAGGUAAUGGCUCACCAAGGUGACUAUCCGUAACUGGUCUGACAGGAUGAUCAGUCACACUGGAACUGAGACACGGUCCAGACUCCUACGGGAGGCAGCAGUGGGGAAUAUUGGACAAUGGGCGAAAGCCUGAUCCAGCCAUGCCGCGUGUGUGAAGAAGGUCUUCGGAUUGUAAACCACUUUAAGUUGGGAGGAAGGGCAUUAACCUAAUACGUUAGUGUUUUGACGUUACCGACAGAAUAAGCACCGGCUAACUUCGUGCCAGCAGCCGGCGUAAUACGAACGGUGCAAGCGUUCAUCGGAAUUACUGGGCGUAAACCUCGCGUCGGUGGUUUGUUAACUUGGAUGUGAAAUCCCCGGGCUCAACCUGGGAACUGCAUCCAAAACUGGCAAGCUAGAGUAUGGCAGAGGGUGGUGGAAUUUCCUGUGUAGCGGUGAAAUGCGUAGAUAUAGGAAGGAACACCAGUGGCGAAGGCGACCACCUGGGCUAAUACUGACACUGAGGUGCGAAAGCGUGGGGAGCAAACAGGAUUAGAUACCCUGGUAGUCC